AGCACAAAUAAAGAUAAAUUUGAGAGCAUUUGGGACAAUUUCUAUGUCAAUGGAAGGCUUAAAGGUUCUUCCUUCUGUCUGCCUUAGGGGAGAAGCAAUAUGUUGAGAGCACAGCUAAUAAUGUAGUUUGCUUGUAAGGAACAUUUGCAAAGAUACAAUCAGAGAAUUUCAGUGGGAAAAGGAACUUUAAAAGUCAUCCAAUGCUAGGCUUUGGGUGUUUGGAUCUUUUCCAACAGGAAGGAAAAAAUGAAAUCUGAACACUGAGUGGUUGAGGGUCAGGACAGAUUCAGUUUUAGAUGUGACACAUAGGCACUGCCUCACAUGCUGCUUGCAGCUCUGAUGGUGUCAGAACCGGGUAAUCAGCCUUUGGUAAACUGAAACACUCCUUAAUUUCUUGACUCUCUCUCCCUGUCUUCACUGAAGACCAAGAGAGCAAGAUAGUGGGAAGGCAGAGGGAGAGGAAGAGAGAAUUUCAAGAAGACUCCCCACUGAGCACAGAGCCCAACUUGGGGCCCUAUCUACAACCCUGAGAUCAUGACCUGAGCCAAAAUCAAAAGUCAGAUACUUAACCGACUGAGCCACCCAGACGCUCUCCUCUUAAUUCUUACAAUGACCCUAUGAUGUAUAAGAGUUUUCAGUCCAAUUAAAAAAAUAUUACCCCCAAAUCCCAUGGCUGGUAAGUCGCAGAGCUUGGAUUCAAAUCCAAGUUCAGUGCUUUCCCCCUUAUUUUAAUGGCUAUUUUGAAUAUUAUUCAAU
rnacentral:lncRNA from 1 species